rnacentral:rRNA from 1 species
CGUAGGUGGCAAGCGUUGUCCGGAAUUAUUGGGCGUAAAGCGCGCGCAGGUGGGAUAAUAAGUCUGAUGUUAAAGUUCGGGGCUCAACCCCGUGAAGCAUUUGGAUACUGUUAUUCUUGAGUGCAGGAGAGGAAAGUGGAAUUCCUAGUGUAGCGGUGAAAUGCGUAGAUAUUAGGAGGAACACCUGUGGCGAAGGCGACUUUCUGGACUGUGUCUGACACUGAGGCGCGAAAGCCAGGGUAGUGAACGGGAUUAGAUACCCCGGUAAUCCUGGCCGUAAACGAUGGGUACUAGGUGUUGGGGGUAUCGACCCCUCCAGUGCCGGAGUUAACGCAAUAAGUACCCCGCCUGGGGAGUACGGCCGCAAGGUUG